GUCGGGUCCCGGUGAUUUGCCAUGGGGGAGUGAGUGUAUAGCUUGUUGUAUUUCUUCUUGUGUGACUGGGUGUUGUAGGAUAGUUUUCUGGUGUUCCGUCAGUGUUGGCAGCGAGAACUGUCCAAGUAAAUUUUGAAUAUCCUGGGAUGUGGGUUGAUGUAAUGUGGGGUCUUCUUUGAGGUUGUAUAAUGAGUGGUAAUAGUCUGCCAUAGUAUCAUUAAUAUCUUGUGGGUUGUGGAUUUUAGAGCCUUGG